rnacentral:rRNA from 1 species
UACGGAGGAUCCAAGCGUUAUCCGGAAUUACUGGGCGUAAAGAGUUGCGUAGGUGGCAAGCUAAGUCUCCGUUUAAAUAUCCAGGCUCAACCUGGGAGAGGGCGGGGAAACUGGCUAGCUAGAGCAUAGUAGAGGUAACUGGAAUUGCAGGUGUAGGAGUGAAAUCCGUAGAUAUCUGCAGGAACACCGAUGGCGUAGGCAGGUUACUGGGCUAUUGCUGACACUAAGGCACGAAAGCGUGGGGAGCGAACGGG